UUUACUUCACAUCAAGUGAAAGAGCUUAUAUGCGAGGAAGAGCCCGGCAGAAUGGAGAGAAGACCCUGUUUUGGAGAGGUAGGAUGUGGGAAGGGGAGGAGAAACUGAACAAAGAGGCUCAACAUUCUGCAGGAGCUAUUUGUGCCAGUCAUGUACCGAGCUCUGAGCCAACGACCGUCCCACAACUGCCAAGAACGCAGUUGAAGCCGGAGUCUCCCAUAUUUUCAUCUUUCCACUUGUUCCCUGGCCAACAUCCUCAGCUUCUGUUCAAGCUACCAUCUCCCUCAGCCUGUGCAGCGAUCUUCUCCCUCUCCACUGCUCCUUGCCCAGCGGCAGCCAGCACGAGGAGGCAAGAAAUAACUGUAAAUGGGAGAGACUUCUCUGGUUUGGUUGGCAUGGGGUCCUGAUUGCCAACCGCCUGUCUCCCCUGCUGGCUGGUGGCAACUCUUUUUGGAGGCGAGGAGGGAGGCAGAUGCUCAGCGAAACUCAUCCAGGGAGCAGUGCUGGAGGGAGCAGAAGAGCAAACGGCAGCAGAGAUGUUGCAGAAAGGAUGAGCAAAAAUAGUGGGAACAUGGAAAAGCAGGCAAGGCAGGCUUGCUGAGGGCUGCUAGUUGUGUGCUCCUGCACCAAGCCUUCCUCCGCUGGUCGGGACUGAAACACUCUUCACACUCUUCAUUCCUGCAAGCACCCCUGCUCAACUCAGGCAAGUUGGUCACCUGGACACCUUACGUGGUUGUUCUCCCUCCAGAUGGCAGAUGGUGAUGCCAAGACAAGCUUUGCGGUGGUUUUCCAGCUGUGGAUGCCAGAUGGUGCUUCUUGGACAGCCACAAAGAUAAAGCCAACUUUUUCCUGACUCAGCUUGGCUUCCAGAGCCUCAGCUGCUAUCGCAGAGGUGAAAGAUGCUAUCACAACAA
rnacentral:lncRNA from 1 species